GAAAAAAAAAAAAAAAAGACAAGAUUUCAACAAAAGUCCACCUAAUUCCUUAUAUAAUCCUUCAUAAUUAUGCAGAUCCCAUUAUAUUGACUUAUCCUUUUACAUGACUAGCUCCCUCUCUAAAUGGGGAGAUCUUAGAGGGCAGAGGCUGGGUCUUAUUGAUUUAUGGAUUCUCAAUGCAUGACCCAAUGCUUGGUGCAUAGUGAGUGAUGGGUUGAUGGAUAAUUACAAGUAACUGAACGUUGUCUAACUUCUCCAUGGGUGGGAAAUGGGAGAGAAUAAGGGAAGAAAUUCAGUCCUGGAGAAGCUUUCAGUAGUCUCAUAGGAAACAUCUGUAGGUCUAAAGGGGAAAACCAGUGUCUGCAAUUGACUAGAAUGCACUGCUAGGGCAGGGACUGCUGGGGCAGGGAAACUACUGGGGAAGGGGCUGCUAGGUGCUAUUGUUAUUGAUAAUAAUAAAUGGCAUUUACCAAAACAAAAACUAAUAUGUUCCUGAAUCUGCGCUAAGUGCCUUUAUUUAUGUGACCUUAUAUAAUUCCCACAAGAACUCCAUGUAGUUCUUGAAGUUCAUGACUAAUAAUGAACUAUGACUGUGCCCUUUAUAUAGAUUGGAAAAUUGAAGCUGGAAAGUGAAGGAGCCUUUGAAGAGCAGAAGCAGAAGGCUUCCAGUUCAGAUCUGUCUCUCUGCAGAGCUCUCCUUUGUUCUAGCCAGUUUCCAUCUUCUUGGUGUUGCUAAGACAAGCUGUUACUAAGAGGAGGCUAUCCUGACUGACGGCUCAUGCUGGUUUGAGGGUCCUUCUCUUAUUCUGCAGGAAAAGAUACAGAAACAAUGGGAAACACCCCUACAGAGCUCGAGCUUGAGGAUGUGAGCAUCGAUGAGCUUUCCUUUUCUUGGCAAGGGGUUUGGUCUUCAGCUAAAUGUGUGUUUUUGCUGAUUUUAGGGGGAUUCUAAAGCAGCACUGGUUCAUCUAGCUGGAAGUAGCCUCAGCCAAGGCCAUGAGUCGGAAAUUCACUCUAAACAGGAGAAGCAGCAAUGAGAACUUCAAGAAGAGAUAUAAGGACUUAGCUCACCACUUUUGUAAAGCCUUUGAGAUUAACUACUUCCUGCCAUUGGAAACAUAUAAACCUAAGGGAUACAUUCAUUCAUACUGGAUUACGAUAGGUUAUAGUCAAUUUAUUUACUUGCCUUUCUCCAUGAAGGCAUCUCCAGCUCAUCCAAGAUCAACUGCAGAGGAGGACGAGGGAAAUUUUAUAUGGGAACAAUUAUCUGAAAAAUAGUCAUUCAUCGAUUCAAGCUCUGACAUCUUUCGGUUCUGCCAUUCCCCCAGAGAAUGUCCUCAUUUGUAUGGUCAAGGCUGGGUUGCAGAGAAGUCCAUGUUGCAGCUCAUGGAAAAAAAGAACCAAAGGGACUCAAGAACACUGGCUUAUGUCUUAGAUUGGAGAUGACCUGGAAAGUCAACUUUCACCCAUAACCCAUUGGCCUAAAGUAAGUCCCAGAGUCAACUUGAAUUGCAAGGGAUCCGGAGUAAUGCUGUUUAUACCUGGAGUGCUGGGGACCCAGCUUAAACUCUACCACCAUAGAAGACAGGGAAGAUAGAUUUUGAUGGAUGACCAGAAGUUUCUGUUACAUGUACAACAGAUUAAAAAUAUAUAUAUUGCCAGCUGGGUGUGGUGGCUCAUGCCUGUAAUCCCAGAACUUUGGGAGUCCAA
rnacentral:lncRNA from 1 species